rnacentral:rRNA from 1 species
CUCGUAGACUCCUACGGGAGGCAGCAGUGGGGAAUAUUGCACAAUGGGCGCAAGCCUGAUGCAGCCAUGCCGCGUGUGUGAAGAAGGCCUUCGGGUUGUAAAGCACUUUCAGUUGUGAGGAAGGUGGUGUCGUUAAUAGCGGCAUCAUUUGACGUUAGCAACAGAAGAAGCACCGGCUAACUCCGUGCCAGCAGCCGCGGUAAUACGGAGGGUGCGAGCGUUAAUCGGAAUUACUGGGCGUAAAGCGCAUGCAGGUGGUUUGUUAAGUCAGAUGUGAAAGCCCGGGGCUCAACCUCGGAACUGCAUUUGAAACUGGCAGACUAGAGUACUGUAGAGGGGGUAGAAUUUCAGGUGUAGCGGUGAAAUGCGUAGAGAUCUGAAGGAAUACCGGUGGCGAAGGCGGCCCCCUGGACAGAUACUGACACUCAGAUGCGAAAGCGUGGGGAGCAAACAGGAUUAGAUACCCUGGUAG